GCCACGGAUUGGAGGCAUGGAGUACCCAGAUGCUCCUCUUGCGGUCACAAGGUGCUUGGAGAAGACUUUUCUCAGUCCGCUGUGACAGCUUCACCUCCAACCAAAAAGAGUACUCCAAGGAAGCUCAGUCCAAAGAAGAAGAGGACCUGAGCACUGUUAUUUAAGCACUGUUAAGUGCCAAUCAGUGUCAUUUGUGAGAGGCAAGCAGGGUUAUGUGUCAUGUCAGUACCAUUUGUGAACCUCCAUGGUCAGCGUCUUUGAGAUGUUAUUGUCUUGUUAGUGUCAUUUGUGAACUCCUGUUGUACUUUUGUCAUGUUUUACCAUGUUGCUGCAUGAAUGGAUGAACAGUGAACAUUGGCUCC